AAGCCCAAAGUCGGCAACUUUUGGCUUGAAGUUGUCAUCAAGGAGAAUGUUGUGAGGCUUGAUGUCAAAAUGUAGAAUCUUCAUGUCACAACCUUGAUGAAGAUAUUUGAUCCCGCGUGCUAUCCCCUAUGCAAUCUGGUACUUCUUCUCCCAACUCAAAGGGCUGCUCUUACCUUCAUGGGAAUAUAUAUAUAUAUAUAUAUAUAUUUCUAGAGAGCCAUUAGGCAUGUACUCAUAGAUAAGAGCCCUUUUCGAUCCCUCUGCACAAAAUCCAAUGAGUCGGACCACAUUGACAUGAUGAUUUUGUGGUGGGCCCAUGGUGGAUGGAAGAUCUAUAGUUACGGAUUUUGCUCCUUUUUUUGGUAGUGUAAAUAUACUCACCAUUCUCCAUAAACUGUGUAGUCCUUCUAAUUUGCUUAUGGCCUAUGAAUUUUGUAGGUACAUCGGAUCAGUUUUACAAACAUUGCUACUCCUCAUCGAACGACUUCCGCCAAAGGUUGCUACUCUCAUUUUUUAGCAGUUACAGAGGCAUAAACUGUGUGCAUAGAUUUUUUAUGUGGGUUAGGGAUGGAUUGUUUUGUUGCAUGGAAGGGAAAAAAAAGUUUGGAUUUGAGAUGGGUUAGAUAUGCUAUGCUGAAAAAACACUUGGCUCAUAUACUACCUCUAUUUCUUUUGUGAAGAUUCCACAACAAGCAAUCGGGGCAACCAUCAAGCAUCACAUUUGCCAAAAAAAAUGGGUCUAAUGGAUCCCGCAGAUUCAGGAUUAAGCUCUAAUGUCAAUUUUGACAACCCAUGCCCUCCAUGUCAGAUUUGAAGGUGCUAGCAGCUCUUUUCUCCUUUCAAUCACAAUUUUCAAUCAUUUAGUUUCUUUUUCCAACUUAAAAUAAUUGUGAUUAUGCAGGGAAACUGCCUUUGUGUGACAGAAUCUGAUGUGGAGGUUAUGGGGCCUGCCUAAUUUUGCAGGAUCUCAUUCCCAAAUGGGUACUAUAUAAGAAGCUAUCAUUUUGAAGACUAUGGAGCUGUUCAAAUUUUUUUUUUUUUUGGGAAGUCUAUGGACUCAUCAAUCAGUCAUACCUACCAAUUUGAAUCCCCAUUCAGGAGGGAUUCUCUAUCACAUGUUUUCAGUGAAUUGAUGUUUGCUUGCACUACUUUUUCAUGGUUAUUUCAAUACAGUGUGAGGACAUUUCAACAGGCAAUACUCUUGUUGUUUGGGGUAGAGUGGAAAACAUAACUGGCCUUUAUGCAGGCUGCCAUUUCUCACUUUUGAUGCUACAAUCACAACUGGACACAGCACACCUGUCAUGGUUUCUUAGCAAAUCACAUUCUUCUAGAAUUGUCUUCCAUUCUGGGUUCAACUGUUCUCAGUUGGUUCUCUUUUUCAUAUUCGAAAUUGGCUUUCAUUUUCAUUAGUCUCUCACAGGGUCUCCAUCGUUCCUCUUACAUGCUUAAUGUUGCGAUGUUGCAUCAUCUAGUUAGCAUUAGAUGCCUUUA